UGGCUGGUGGGAUCAAUGUCCUUAUAA
rnacentral:misc_RNA from 1 species